rnacentral:tRNA from 1 species
GGGGAUAUAGCUCAGUGGCACAGCACCUGCCUGGCAAGCAUGAGGUUGUAAGUUCGAUUCCUGGUACCA